UGGGGAAUAUUGCACAAUGGGGGAAACCCUGAUGCAGCGACGCCGCGUGAACGAAGAAGGUAUUCGUAUCGUAAAGUUCUGUCCUAUGGGAAGAUAAUGACAGUACCAUAGAAGAAAGCUCCGGCUAAAUACGUGCCAGCAGCCGCGGUAAUACGUAUGGAGCGAGCGUUGUCCGGAAUUAUUGGGCGUAAAGGGUACGCAGGCGGUUUAAUAAGUCGAAUGUUAAAGAUCGGGGCACAACCCCGCAAAGCAUUGGAAACUGAUAAACUUGAGUAGUGGAGAGGAAAGUGGAAUUCCUAGUGUAGUGGUGAAAUACGUAGAUAUUAGGAGGAAUACCAGUAGCGAAGGCGACUUUCUGGACACAAACUGACGCUGAGGUACGAAAGCGUGGGGAGCAAACAGG
rnacentral:rRNA from 1 species